rnacentral:lncRNA from 1 species
GCCUGUCUGGGCCCAAUAAUUACAAUAUGAAUGUUUGUAUCAUUAGAUAUGUAGUUGCAUUUGCCGCGGAUACUUCAAAGUUAAGAUCAAAUCAAACAUCUUGGAAUCCAUUCUUUACCAUUGUAUGCUGCAAAAAUAAAACAAACUCAACUACCAUGAAAAAUAUCACAAUUCUAAUAAUAAAAUCUUCAGUGAGUAAUAAAAUUGAUACUAGAAUAUUAAUUAUAAUAGUCAUUAUUGGAAAAUAUAUAAUAAAAAGCAUCACAACAUUAAUUAUUUCGCUUAUCUAUAUAAUUCACAAAAUGACAAUUAUAUGAUUGGUCAAUAAAAUACAAAUCCUGUUGGAUACAUAUAUAGUGGUACUUAAUUAAUUAAUUAGUUAUGCAUGUCAAUAACGUAAAGAAGAUCCAUGUAGCUUCUGUGACAUAUCUUGAAUUAUAAUUUUGUUUCAUUACGUUUCAAUUGUGCUAUUACCUAAUGUUUCCCCUCUCCGUGGGAGGAAUUUCUACUUUUGAUUUUUUUUUCCUCCCCUUAGAAAUUUUUAAGAUUGCUGCAAUUCAGGUUUAAUUCUAUCACCUUGAGAGUCACAAUUGUUGAGAA